UACCUGGUUGAUCCUGCCAGUAGUCAUAUGCAUUUCUCAAAGAUUAAGACAUGGAUUUCUAAGUAUGAACUAAUUCAGACUGUGAAACUGCAGAUGGCUCAUUAAAUUAGUUAUAGUUUCUUAGAUGGUACCCUACUCCUCAUAUAACCGUAGUAAUUCUAGAGCUAAUACGUGCACCAAGUCCCAACUCUUUGGAAGAGAUGCAUUUAUUAGAUAAAAGGCCAACAUGGGCUUUCUCACUUCUCCGGUGAACCAUGAUAACUCAAUGGAUCGCAGAGCCCUUUUCCUAGCGAUGCUUGAUUCAAAUUUCUUUCCUAUCAACUUUCGAUGGUAGGAUAGAGGCCUACCAUGGUGGUGACAGGUGACGGAGAAUUAGGGUUCAAUUAAGGAGAGGGAGCUUGAGAAACGACUACCACAUCCAAGGAAGGUAGAAGGCGUGCAAAUUACCCAAUCCUGACAUGGGGAGGUAGUGACAAAAAAUAACAAUAUUGUGCUCAUCGAGUCUGGUAAUUAGAAUGAGUACAAUCUAAAUCCCUUAACAAGGAUCCAUUAGAGGGAAAGUUUGGUGCCAGCGGCCGCGGUAAUUUAAGCUCCAAUAGCGUAUAUUUAAGUUGUUAAAGUUAAAAAGCUCGUAGUUGGAACUUGGGUCGUAAAGGUCGGUCUGCCUACUCGGUGUGCACCUGCCCUUUCGUCCCAUUUUCCAGCGGCGUGCUCCCGACCUUAAUUGGCUGGGUCACAGUUUCGACAUUGUUGGUUUGAAAAAAAUAGAGUAAUGAUUAAUAGGGGCUGUCUGGGGCAUUCAUAUUUCAUUAUCAGAGGUGAAAUUCAAGGAUUUAUGAAGGACGAAUCACUGUGAAAGAAUUUUCCAAUGAUGUUUUCAUUAAUCAAGAAUGAAAGUUGGGGGCUCGAAGACGAUCAUAUACCGUCCUAGUCUCAACCAUAAAUGAUGCCACUCAAGGAUCAAUGGAUGUUUCUCUAAGGACUCCGCCAACACCUUCUAAGAAAUCAGAGUGUUUGGGUUCCGGGGGGAGUAUGGUUGCAAGGCUGAAUCUUAAAGGAAUUAACAGAAGGGCACCACCAAGAGUGGAGCCCACGGCUUAAUUUGAAUCAACACGGGAAAAAUUACUAGGUCCAGACAUAGUAAGGAUUGACAGAUUGAGAUCUCUUUCUUGAUUCUAUGGGUGGUGGUGCAUGGUCAUUCUUAGUUGGUGGAGCGAUUUGUUUGGUUAAUUCCGAUAACGAACAAGACCUCAGCCUGCUAACUAGCUACACGGAGGUUCCCCUUCGUGGCCAGCUUAUUACAAGGACUAUGGACGUUUAGGCCAUGGAAGUUUGAGGAAAUAAUCGGUUUGUGAUGCCCUUAGAUGUUCUGGGCCGCACGCACGUUACACUGAUGUAGUCAACGAGUUUUUCUCCCUGGUUCGAGAGGAUCAGGAAAUCUUCUCAAAUUUCAUCGUGAUGGGGAUAGACCAUUACAAUUAUUGGUCUUCAAUGAGGAAUUCCUAGUAAGCGCGUGCCAUCAACUCAUGUUGACUACGUCCCUGCCCUUUAUACACACCACCUAUCGCUCCUACUGAUUGAAUGAUCCGGUGAAGUGUUCAGAUCGCAUCAACGAGGGUGGUUCACCACCAACGAUGUCGUGAGAAGUUCACUGAACCUUAUCAUUUAGAGGAAGGAGAAGUCGUAACAAGGUUACCGUAGGUGAACCUGCGGUAGGAUCAUUG
rfam:Picea glauca, whole genome shotgun sequence.